rnacentral:rRNA from 1 species
AAUGGGCGCAAGCCUGAUCCAGCAAUACCGCGUGUGUGAAGAAGGCCUGAGGGUUGUAAAGCACUUUUAAUAGGGAGGAACAUCUGCCGGCCAAUACCCGGUAGUCUGACAUUACCUAUAGAAAAAGCACCGGCUAACUCCGUGCCAGCAGCCGCGGUAAUACGGAGGGUGCAAGCGUUAUCCGGAAUCACUGGGUUUAAAGGGUGCGUAGGCGGCUUAGUAAGUCAGUGGUGAAAGGCUGUGGCUUAACCAUGGAAUUGCCAUUGAUACUGCAGAGCUUGAAUGAGGUUGAGGUUGGCGGAAUGUGACAUGUAGCGGUGAAAUGCUUAGAUAUGUCAUGGAACACCGAUUGCGAAGGCAGCUGACUGGACCUAUAUUGACGCUGAGGCACGAAAGCGUGGGGAGCGAA